rnacentral:rRNA from 1 species
UGGGAACGCGAAGAACCUUACCUAGACUUGACAUCCCCUGAAUUACCUGUAAUGAGGGAAGUCCCUUCGGGACGGGGAGACAGGUGGUGCAUGGUUGUCGUCAGCUCGUGUCGUGAGAUGUUGGGUUAAGUCCCGCAACGAGCGCAACCCUUAUCGUUAGUUGCUACCAUUAAGUUGAGCACUCUAAUGAGACUGCCCGGGUUAACCGGGAGGAAGGUGGGGAUGACGUCAAAUCAUCAUGCCCCUUAUGUCUAGGGCCACACACGUGCUACAAUGGUGAGUACAACGAGAUGCGAACCCGCGAGGGGAGCUAAACUCAAAAACUCAUCUCAGUUCGGAUUGCCGGCUGCAACUCGCCUGCAUGAAGCUGGAGUUGCUAGUAAUCGCGAAUCAGAAUGUCGCGGCGAAUACGUUCCCGGGUCUUGUACACACCG